UCGCCCUUAGAGUUUGAUCCUGGCUCAGGAUGAACGCUAGCGGCAGGCUUAACACAUGCAAGUCGAGGGGCAGCACAAGGAGCAAUCUGAGGUGGCGACCGGCGCACGGGUGAGUAACAGGUAUGCAAUCUGCCUCUGACAGGGGGAUAACCCGUCGAAAGACGGACUAACACCGCAUAAGACCACAUUCCGGCAUCGGAGAGGGGUAAAAUGUUUACAGGUCAGAGAUGAGCAUGCUUAUCAUUAGGUAGUUGGUAGAGUAACGGCCUACCAAGCCGACGAUGAUUAGGGGUUCUGAGAGGAAGGUCCCCCACACCGGAACUGAGACACGGUCCGGACUCCUACGGGAGGCAGCAGUGAGGAAUAUUGGUCAAUGGGCGAGAGCCUGAACCAGCCAUGCCGCGUGAAGGAAGACUGCCCUAUGGGUUGUAAACUUCUUUUGUACGGGAACAAUAAGGUCUACGUGUAGAUCGAUGCGCGUACCGUACGAAUAAGCAUCGGCUAACUCCGUGCCAGCAGCCGCGGUAAUACGGAGGAUGCGAGCGUUAUCCGGAUUUAUUGGGUUUAAAGGGUGCGUAGGCGGGCGCAUAAGUCAGGGGUGAAAUACUGUCGCUUAACGAUAGAAUUGCCUUUGAUACUGUGUGUCUUGAGUGUAUGUGAGGCAGGCGGAAUGUGCAGUGUAGCGGUGAAAUGCUUAGAUAUUGCACAGAACACCGAUUGCGAAGGCAGCUUGCUAACAUAUAACUGACGCUGAAGCACGAAAGUGUGGGGAUCAAACAGGAUUAGAUACCCUGGUAGUCCACACUGUAAACGAUGAUUACCGGAUGUUUGCGGGGGUAACCUGUGAGCGUCUCAAGCGAAAGCAUUAAGUAAUCCACCUGGGGAGUACGUCGGCAACGAUGAAACUCA
rnacentral:rRNA from 1 species